CCCCUAGAUGUUCUGGGCCGCACGCGCGCUACACUGAACAGUUCAACAAGUCUUAACCUUGGCCGAUAGGUCUGGGUAAUCUUUGAACGCUGUUCGUGAUUGGGAUAGACCUUCGCAAUUAUGGGUCUUCAACGAGGAAUUCCUAGUAAACGCAAGUCAUCAGCUUGCAUUGAUUACGUCCCUGCCCUUUGUACACACCGCCCGUCGCACCUACCGAUUGAAUGGUCCGGUGAAAUCUCGGGACGGCGGCUUGGUCGCUUGCGUCCGACUGCUGAAACUUGAUUAAACCAUAUCAUUUAGAGGAAGGUGAAGUCGUAACA
rnacentral:rRNA from 1 species